rnacentral:misc_RNA from 1 species
GAUGAAGAACGCAGCGAAAUGCGAUAAGUAAUGUGAAUUGCAGAAUUCGGUGAAUCAUCGAAUCUUUGAACGCACAUUGCGCCCGCCAGUAUUCUGGCGGGCAUGCCUGUCCGAGCGUCAUUUCAACCAUCAAGCCCCGGGCUUGUGUUGGGGACCUGCGUCCGACGCAGGCCCCGAAAACCAGUGGCGGGCUCGCUGUCCACACCGAGCGUAGUAGCUAACCUCGCUCCGGAGUGGCGCGGGCGCCUGCCGUAAAACCCCCCCAAUUUUACAAGGUUGACCUCGGAUCAGGUAGGAAUACCCGCUGAACUUAAGCAUAUCAAUAAGCGGAGGA